rnacentral:rRNA from 1 species
CUCUGUGACUCCUACGGGAGGCAGCAGUGGGGAAUAUUGCACAAUGGGCGCAAGCCUGAUGCAGCAACGCCGUGUGAGUGAAGAAGGUUUCGGAUCGUAAAACUCUGUCCUAAGGGAAGAAAAAAUGACGGUACCUUAGGAGGAAGCCCCGGCUAACUACGUGCCAGCAGCCGCGGUAAUACGUAGGGGGCAAGCGUUAUCCGGAAUCACUGGGCGUAAAGGGUGCGUAGGCGGCUUGACAAGCCAGGGGUGAAAGGCAUUGGCUCAACCAAUGUAAGCCUUUGGAACUGUUAAGCUUGAGUGCAGGAGAGGUAAGUGGAAUUCCUAGUGUAGAGGUGAAAUUCGUAGAUAUUAGGAGGAACACCAGUGGCGAAGGCGACUUACUGGACUGUAACUGACGCUGAUGCACGAAAGCGUGGGUAGCGAACAGGAUUAGAUACCCUGGUAG